AACGAACGCUGGCGGCAGGCUUAACACAUGCAAGUCGAACGCCCCGCCCUGUGAGUGGCGCACGGGUGAGUACCGCGUGGUUAUCUGCCUUUUGGUUCGGUAUCACCCCGGGAUACCGGGGCUAAUACCGGAUUGUUCCUACGUGAUAAAGAUUUAUCGCCAAAAGUUGUGUCCGCGUACGAUUAGCUAGUUGGUGAGGUAAUGGCACACCAAGGCGAAGAUCGUUAGCUGGUCUGAGAGGACGACCAGCCACACGGGGACUGAGACACGGCGCAGACACGUACGGGAGGCAGAAGUGGGGAAUAUGGGACAAUGGGGGCAAGUCUGAGCCGGCCAUGCCGCGUGAGGGAAGAAGGCCUUCGGGUUGUAAAGCUAUUUUGGCGGGGACGAUGAUGACGGUACCAGAAGAAUAAGCCCCGGCUAACUUCGUG
rnacentral:rRNA from 1 species